rnacentral:rRNA from 1 species
UACGUAGGGUGCAAGCGUUAAUCGGAAUUACUGGGCGUAAAGCGUGCGCAGGCGGUUAUGUAAGACAGAUGUGAAAUGCCCGGGCUUAACCUGGGAACUGCAUUUGUGACUGCAUGGCUAGAGUUUGGCAGAGGGGGGUAGAAUUCCACGUGUAGCAGUGAAAUGCGUAGAUAUGUGGAGGAACACCGAUGGCGAAGGCAGCCCCCCUGGGUCAAGACUGACGCUCAUGCACGAAAGACGU